CCAUACUCCUACGGGAGGCAGCAGCAGGGAAUAUUGCACAAUAGGCGAAAGCCUGAUGCAGCGACGCCGCGUGAGUGAAGAAGGCCUUCGGGUCGUAAAGCUCUUUUGUAGGGGAAGAGGAAGGACGGUACCCUAAGAAGAAGCGUCGGCUAACUACGUGCCAGCAGCCGCGGUAAGACGUAGGACGCGAGCGUUAUCCGGAAUUACUGGGCGUAAAGGGCCAGCAGGCGGCUUGGUAAGUUGUGCGUGAAAGCCUCGUGCUCAACGCGAGGAAGCCGGACAAUACUGUCAAGCUAGAGGGCAUCAGAGGGGAGUGGAAUUCCCGGAGUAGCGGUAAAAUGCGCAGAUAUCGGGAGGAACACCGAUGGCGAAGGCAGCUCCCUGGGAUGCACCUGACGCUAAGAGGCGAAAGCUAGGGGAGCGAACAGGAUUAGAGACCCUGGUAGUCCUAGCUGUAAACGCUGGGUGCUAGGUGUGGGACGUAGAAGUUCCGUGCCGGAGCAAACGCGAUAAGCACCCCGCCUGGGAAUUACGGUCGCAAGGCUAAAACUCAAACGAAUGGACGGGGCCCCGCACAAGCAGCGGAGCGUGUGGUUCAAUUCGAUGCUACACGAAGAACCUUACCUGGGUUUGACAUGUACGUGGUACGAAGGCGAAAGCCUAAGGACCCUUCGGGGAGCGUACACAGGUGCUGCAUGGCUGUCGUCAGCUCGUGCCGUGAGGUGUCGGGUUAAGUCCCGUAACGAGCGCAACCCCUGCCCUUAGUUACAAGUGUCUAAGGGGACUGCCGGCGGGAAGCCGGAGUAACCUGGCGACUGACGUCAAGUCAGCAAGCCCCAAACGUCCAGGGCCACACACACGUUACAAUGGUCAGUACAAAGGGUAGCGAAGUCGUGAGGCGGAGCGAAUCUCAACAAAGCUGAUCGUAGUUCGGAUUGCAGGCUGCAACCCGCCUGCAUGAAGCUGGAGUUGCUAGUAACCGCGCGUCAGCCAUAGUGCGGUGAAUACGUACCCGGGGCUUGUACACACCGCCCGUCACGUCAUGGGAGUCGGUAACGCCUGAAGCCGGUAGUCUGGCCCGCAAGGGGGACGCUGUCGAAGGCGGGACUG
rnacentral:rRNA from 1 species